rnacentral:tRNA from 1 species
AAAGUCCUAGCUUAAUUAAAGCACCUGAGUUGCAUUCAGGAGAUGUAGGGUAAUAUCUUACGGACUUUA